GCAGUCCCUUUCGUCCAGUGGUUAGGACAUCGUCUUUUCAUGUCGAAGACACGGGUUCGAUUCCCGUAAGGGAUAGGUACUC
rnacentral:tRNA from 1 species